AGUGAACGCUGGCGGUAGGCCUAACACAUGCAAGUCGAACGGCAGCACAGGAGAGCUUGCUCUCUGGGUGGCGAGUGGCGGACGGGUGAGGAAUACAUCGGAAUCUACUCUGUCGUGGGGGAUAACGUAGGGAAACUUACGCUAAUACCGCAUACGACCUACGGGUGAAAGCAGGGGAUCUUCGGACCUUGCGCGAUUGAAUGGGCCGAUGUCGGAUUAGCUAGUUGGCGGGGUAAAGGCCCACCAAGGCGACGAUCCGUAGCUGGUCUGAGAGGAUGAUCAGCCACACUGGAACGGAGAUACGGUCCAGACUCCUACGGGAGGCAGCAGUGGGGAAUAUUGGACAAUGGGCGCAAGCCUGAUCCAGCCAUACCGCGUGGGUGAAGAAGGCCUUCGGGUUGUAAAGCCCUUUUGUUGGGAAAGAAGUCCAGCUGGCUAAUACCCGGUUGGGAUGACGGUACCCAAAGAAUAAGCACCGGCUAACUUCGUGCCAGCCGCCGCCGUAA
rnacentral:rRNA from 1 species